rnacentral:lncRNA from 1 species
UGAAAAUGUUUGACUGACUAAUAUGCAUGAUGGAGCCAUUUGAUGAUUAUUUGAUGUGGAUGAGAAUUGAGUUGCAAUGUAUGUUGAUAUUCUGUGAAAUAGAUGUGUGAUGAAUUAUGAUUGUGGUUUUGAUGCUAAGUAGAAUGCAUGAUCGAAUUUUGUGUGAGAAAGCAUGUGUGUGAGAUUUUGAGCUCCAGAGUUUUUGUUGUUGUAUGCAUUGUUCACAGGAAAACAUGACCGAUAUUGCCUUAAUCUUGAUGAUUGAUUGAAUUGCAUGUAAAUGUCAUAUGAUCAAGGCCAUUUUUGAGAACCCUUCUCUAGCCAAAUUUUCACCUAAAAUGCUUGAAAUGUUAUACCCUUUUUGAACCUUAACCUUAAACAGGAUGUGAACCCUUGUCUUUAAAUUCUUUACCUUGAGUUGGGAUGAGCUUAAUUGUAUUGAUGAAAAGGUUCAAGUUUGGGGUUGUUUGGGGGAAAAUUGAAAAAGCAAGUGAAAAGCAUUGAGCUCAAAUAUUGUGAAAAGAAAAAUUCAUGAGAAAAAGAAAAGAAAAGAAGAAAAGCAUGAGAAAGAGCUUAAUGCAAAAGAAAAAGAAAAGGGAAGAAGUUGGGAAUAAGUGAGAUUGGUGAGAAAGAGAGUUGUGCUUAAUUGUUAAAUUUUAUGAAAGCUCUUUUAACUCAAGGACUUUGUAUUCCGGUAAAACCAAUUUUUCUUGUUAGCCCAACCUCAUUACAAGCCUUGCAAAAGUCCUUUUGAUGGCAUUUGCAUGUAAAGAUGUUGAUUGUUUGAGAUGAAUGGCAAUUUUGUUUCAUGUGACUUGUGAACAAUAGAGAGUUGGAGUGUCACCUUAAACACUUGAGUGAUUGAGUGAAACACUUGCUUGGUAUGAACUGUUAAUUGUCAUGAGUGCAUUUUUGCUUAGUGGAUUGGUCAUUCAUAAUGUAUAACAUCUGUUGUGCAAUCUCUGGAUUGAAAGCAUAAAUACAUCUUAUUUUGGAUUUCACCGAGGAUACUGAAUUGAGUAGUUUUGUCAUGUAUUUUGGGAUUAUUGAACCAUUGGAUGGAAAAGGAUAAAGCCAAGUUUUGUUUAGUGCGUUGUUUUGUUUUGUUUGCUUGAGGACAAGCAAAGUUCUAAGUUUGGGGUGUUGAUGAAGGUUGAAAAACAGUUAUUUUCAUAUGUUAAUUUAGACCAAAUUACACGCUUUACUACUUGGAAUGAGCUUAGAAUCAAGCAAAACUCAAUAAAUGAGUCUGUAGAGAGUCAAAAGUUGUUUUUAGCGAUAUUAUGCUUGUUUUGCAUUGUUUUGUAGCUAUUUUGAGGAAAUGAAGAAUGAAGCUGAAGAUAAAAGUCGUAGACUCAAGAAAAGAGAAGAAAAUUUAAGAUUUGAAGAGCCGACGCACCGCCCGGCGGAAACUUACACCGUUGGGCAGUCUAAGGCGAGGAGUAGGCACCAGAAUUGGCGCUGGGCGGUUUUGAGGGAAACCGCCGGCCAGUGACGACUGCCGCCGGGCGGUUUGGAGGCUUAUGGGAAACCGCCGGGCGACACACUUAAACCGCCGGGCAGUGGUCCACUGGGCCUGGGCCUAUUUUCUGUUGUGCUCCUCACCUAUAAAUACCCCUAUUUCGAAUUCAGAGUCAUUCUUUUGACAGGGGAAGACGACCAGACCUAAUUUUGCUCUCUGGAGAGGAUCUCUUGGAUGCUUAGGCUCCUUUUCAUCUUUUCUAUGGUUUUCUUUUCCAUUCUUCUUCCAUUUUUCAUCUAGUUUCACCAUGUCUAUGGUGAACUAAACCCUAUUGUUGUUGGGGGAAACAAUGUAAUCUUUUGAUACUCUCUUUUAUUGAAACUCUUGAUUAUUUAUAUGGUUUCCAUAUGUUUGAUGGUUAAUUGUUGGGUUCUCAUUUGUGCUUAAGGCCUUUAUCGUUUAACUCAUUCGGUAAUUGUUGUUUGUCUUUAUUGAUACGGGGACGUACAGUAAUGUCAUGAACUGGUGAGUAAUUUCUUGAUUUUGCAAUACCACGUAGGGAUAGGGGUAGGAUGAUCAAUUGCGUUAACUUCUGCUCUGUAAUGCGGUAUUAAUUGCUAGGGGAGCCUAGGGAUAGCAAGCCAGUAGUUAAUAUUAGGCUCUUCUAUCCGAGGGAUCGGGUUAAGGGUAGGCUAAGAAAGUCGCAUGACAAUUAAUUAAUCAAACUAGAAAUUCAAGAGGAGUAGAUAAGAGAGAGCGAAUAAGAUGAAAUUGUAAACCCCCAACAACUUCAUUCAUCCAUUGUUUUCUUUUGUCAAUUGAAUCAAUCUCUUUUGCAUGUUAAUAUUUUUGUUCUCAAAUCACAUUAAUUAAAUUUUUAUUUUCAAGUCUUAUUAUUUUAAUUCACGUGAACGAGAAAGCCUUUCGAGUCUCUUGGGAAGAACGAUAUUGGGUUACUCCAAUUAUAUUACUUGAACGAUUUGGUACGCUUGCCAAUCCGUCAACAACGGUCUGCAGCAGAUUUUGCCUAAUUGUUGGAAUUUUUUGAUGUUUGUCUAUUGAGGGGCCCUGUUUUCCCUCAAAACUAGAUUUUGUGUGAUCCGAGUUAUAAAAUUGAUGAUGUAUUAACCUCUAAUGAUGUUUCAUGAAUAUUGUUGGAUUUAUUUGAUACAAGAAUGUCUACUUCGAGAAGGGUUAAAACUAUGGGCAACAAAAGGAAGGAGCCAGAGAGACCUAGGAGAUUUUAUUCUUCUAGGUUCCUCUCAAGGAAGCAUGAAGAGCAUUAUGCUACUGUCCAGGAGAGGCGUUUGCUAAUGGAGAGGAAGGCCAUGUACAUCCCUGACUUAGCUCCAGAAUUUGGUUUGGAGAUUGAAAUGCGAGGCUGGGAGAGACUGACUACAUAUCCAGGACUUGCAAGUAUUGAGUUGGUAAAGAAGUUCUAUGCUAAUGCCUUGCCUAGAGGAGGAAUAUCAGCUGGGAGAUACAUGAGCUACGUGAGGGGACAUUUGAUCAGUUAUGACCUCGACACCAUUAACGCCUUCUUAUGGACUAAGUGGCCAGGAGAGUAGUGCAGGUAUGCUACUAUACUAGGGGAGGUCAGGGAUUAUGAAGAUAUUGAGAGAGUGAUGUGCAUCCUUGGAAGAAAUUUUCAGAGAAACCCUAAUGGAGCACCGGUUAACAUCCUUAGGGCAGAUUUGGCUCCCCUAGCCAAGUACUGGAUGGCAUUUACUCAUGCCAACAUCUAGCCAUGCUCUCAUGUUUCUGACAUCAAAUUGCAUCGGAUUUUGGUCAUCUAUUAUAUGCUGAGGCAGAUGGACGUGAACGUUGGUAAGAUUAUUACCAACGAAAUUCUGAGUUGCGCCAACACUGUGAGCAGCAGGACACCACUGGGACAUCCAUCCCUAAUUACAUACUUGUGCCAGCAGGCAGGAGUGGACACUGCAAUUCCACCCUUUGAGAGGUCGAUGAGGGCUAUUGAUGCCUCCUACUAUUGUCAGUACUGUGUAGGUGAUGAGCCGGCUAGAGAAGUUCCUAGGAGACGUCCUAGGAGGGCAGCAGCAAGCAGGAGGAUGAGCCUGCAGAUGCACCGGCACAACAGCCUAAGCCUUUUCAGAUGAGGGACAUGUAUAUGUCCAUGAUGGAGGCGAGGAUGGAGUCCUUUCGCAGAGGGCAGGUGGCCACUUCCGAGAUGAUUAUGUUGAGAUUGUUGACAACACAAACUCUAUAUCAAACUAGUUUUUGGUGAUGACAACACAUUGCUUAAUAACAGUACAUAUGUUCCAAUACUACAUGUUCAGUUGAUAUGCUAUACUGUUUUGAACUUUGUCUCUAUUGAACAUGUUUUGUUAUUUUACAUGGAUGUUCCUAUGAUUGACUAUGUGUUAUAUAUAUGGAACAUGCCUGUGUUGAAAUGUGUGUUAAAAUGUUUUUGAUUACUGUUACACAUUUCCAAAGAAAAGCUCACAAGUACUUUUAUGAACUUAUAUUUGUUGUAACAAAGGUUCAAUUCAGUCGACUACACUGGUAAUGGAGUCGAUUAAGCUAAAAUCUUUGUACAGAUUUUGUACAUGUGUACUUGAUGAGAUUUUGAGAUGAAAAGAAUUUCAAAGUGUUUUUUCAUGAGUCAGUCGACAAUGUAGGUCACUUAUUCGACUGUAUUACUGUUGUAUUUGGAAUUAUGUUUUGCGUAAUUGCUCCAACGGCUAUAUUUUCAAAAGUUAGUUAGGAUUAACUAACUGGGUCAACUGUCAUAAAUGUGUGUUAAUUUUGUUGACUGAGGAUCUUGUGUGUUGACUGUUUGUUAUAACUGAUUUAAUGCAGUCGACUCUAUUAGUAGGUCAUUCAACUGAGACUGACAGGAAAACUAUAAAUAGAAACAGUUAACGAUUUGUUCUAAGACUUUGUCAUCUAACAUUUUCAUUUUCUUGUUUCAGAGAAAGCUCUCAAUUUCAGACGCUCAAAGAAUUCUCCAAGAAGACGGUGGUGAUCUUUCUUGAGAGAGAUUCAGAUUGAGGAGUCAAUUGCGCUUACUGUUUGAUCAACAUAUGCACAAAGAAGGUGCUUCUGGUUUGAUCUUGAAGGCUUGGCAUCCUGUGAAGACUGCUGCAUUUGACUGAAGGCUUGGCAACCUGUGAAGUGUGUUGUGAUGGGCUUGGCAACCAGUGAAGCGUGCUGUGAUAAGUUUGGCAACCUGUGAAGCGUGCUAUGAUAGGCUUGGCAUCCUGUGAAGAGUGUUGGUGACAUGUUGAGGAUUGUUCAACGUGGGUGCAGAUUGUAGGAGAAGGGAUUCUUACUGCAAUUCUGGUUUUUGUGUGCAGCUAUAUUUGGGUUUGGGUUAGAAAGGAGAUUUAUAUUUUUGCGUGGUGCUUCUAUAAAUUCCUUGUUGUAAGAACCGCAACCAUUAUAGUGCAUUUGAUUCCAAGGUUGGAAGGACACUAGAUGUAGGCAUUGUUGGCCGAACCAGUAUAAAAAUCAGUGUUUGCUUUUUCUAUCCAUGCACUCUUUUAAUUCAAUCGACUAUAUUUGUUUAGUAGUCAACUACGUUUUUUCGCUGCAUUACAUUUUUCAAUAACUUGCAUUUCAAGGAAAGAUCCAAAGCUUUGAACUUUCAUACCAAGAUUGCGAAAAGAUUUUAAAUUUGAACUAACACCAAUUCAUUACAUAUAGGUAUCAUCAUUUAGGCUAGUCUGCAGAAUAAUUAAUGUUCAGUUCCUAGUUUUGUACCUAGUAGUCUAGUGCAGACUCUUGGUGUUCCAUGUACUCUUGUGAUUUUCAUUAUAAAUAAAAGAUAAUGAGAGGGAUCAUUCAGCCCUAAAGAAUAUUUCUUCUCAGUCUUAAGUCUCAAGUAUUAAUAACUAACAAGGAAGAAUCUGAAUCUUAUGAUUGGCUAGAGAAUUCCAUACAUCCCAAAGAUUGGGCCAAGUAUGUCCAUGACCUGAAAUAAAUUGUUUUGCUCUAGACAAUAAAGAGCAAAUCAAUAUAUACUGAUAUAGGAAACUACAAAUUGUAUCUUACCAAAAUGUACAAAUCUCAUUGCCAACCCUUAUAAUUAACCCAAGGGAUUCCAUAACAGCCAUUUAUGUUAGACGAUCUCUGCACUGCUUUAACUUCUAUUGUGUCUCCAAUUACCUUUUAAAAUCUUCUAAUUCUUUUUUCUCUCUCUGCAUCAAAAUCCUUCCUGAAUUGAGUAAAUAUAAACAUUAGGAUUUAAAUAUCAGCAUUAAUUCAAGACGGUGACAUUCAAUUGUUCAAUUAACUGCAGAAGCAUUUGGAUUUAAAUAGCUUUGGAUCCUAGGGAACUUCCUUCAAUGACCAACCUCAGCAAACACGUGAGAUAUUAUCAAAUUAACAUGAUUAAUACGAACUACUUAUUUAUCAUUUAUCACACAUAAAUUGUGCUCAUAAGGACCUCCAACACCAGUCAUUGUAUAAUUUAAUAUUAGUUCCUAAAGGACAUAUUUAUCACGUUUGCGUGCAUCUAAAAUUUACAAAAAUGGCAAAUGCUAAAUUUUAAUUUUAUAAAUUGAAAUAUUAAGAAUAUCUAUUCAUCAGCCAUUGCUCGUUAGUUAUAUUCAUUAUGCUAGUACGCAACUGCAAACUUAAUUACAUAUAAAAUGUAAAGAUGAAAUGAUAUGGGUCGAGUCCUCAUAGUGCAAAUGAAAUCUAUAGGUGUAGGAAGGAUGGAACCAAAAUGAUAAUAACUAAUCCUACGUCCUCCUCCAAUAUUUAAAUAAACUCAAAACCUUGAGCUUGGAUUUCAUCAAUGUAGUUGAUCAUAAUGGUGGCAGCACCCUUGAAAAUGUUUACAUGAAAGAGUUGAAAAAGAAAACAACUAUAUUUAGAUAAAGAUUAAGAAUCAACAUAAAUGUAAAAAGAGGUGUAUAACUUAAUAUACCAAAGCAAAAGUAAAAUCAACAAAAAUAAUAAUAAUAAUUUCCAUUUAAGCUUGAUCAUUGCUGAACCGAGAUGGUAGUGGGGCAUUACAAGUUAUCAACCAAUGUUGAGAGAAAAUUAAACAAUGAAUUAGGCAUCAGUAACACCAUGAACCAGACAACAACCUCUAAAUGAAAUCACGAAUAUCAUAUUACAACUGGUCUAUAACAGUUUUUGAGUAAAUACAAUACCAACUAGUGCCUACAAGAGAUCCAACAAAACUGUGUAAUCCGAUUAGACUAUACAGGACAGUAAACAACCUGCACACAAAUCCUCACGGCAAAUACAAUUCAUAUGGAAUUACAUAGACAGUUAACCACAAACAGUAUAGACCACCAGAGUUCCAAUUCAUUUACCUAAUGAGCAUGCAUUUGUGAUCUUUCUAUACACUUAAUAUCAGGGAACAAGACUUUUAUUACUAGCUCAAAACUAUUUUAGCAAUCAUCACCGUUUGCAUCACUCAAUUAUAGAUUCAACGUUAGCAAUCAUCACCGUUAACUUUCUCAACCCUAUACAAACAUACAAUACAUCCUAGAAACUUAAACCACAAAUUCAAAACUACCCUGAACAGCUAAGGAAACUAUAACGACAAUAAAUAGAUUAUAGAAACUUAACAAAUUUCAGCAUUUGUAAAUUCCUUUAUCUCUUGUAUCCCAUAAUUUCCAGGAUCAGUUUCACAUGAAUAAUAUUUUCCAGAUUUAAAUUAUCAAAUCUUUUCUUUUUCAAAUUAACCAAAAUCACAUUUUAUAACUAGACAUGCGCUCAAUAUUAACAUAACAAAUUUAUGAAACAAGAAUUAAAAUCAAAGACCUAGAUAAGCACCCAAAAACAAACACAUUCAGUUUAGUUCCCAAUGUCCUAAUAUCUCAUUAUAAAACUUCAUUCAACUUUAUCCUAUUUCCCCAAAAACAGACCUGUUUCCUUUAAUUGAUUAACACAGAGUAAAAUAAAAUAAGAAUGAUGUGAUCUCUACAUUAUCAAGAUUAUGAACUGCUUAACUAGGUUUUAGUUUAACUUAAUUCAUUUCAUANANNAAUUCAUAAUUAAAUUUACUCUAAACACAUGCCCAUUCAUUUGUAAAUGCAUAUCAACCUUGCUCAAAAACGGAAAGCACAAUCACAUUAUAAAAAUUUCCAGCCAGUGCAUUGAUUGAUCAUAAAAUUCAUUUCUUGGUUAUAAGUUUAUUUUCAAUUUAAGAUACAAUGUUCCUAACAAUACAAUGUUCCUGAAUCUCACACAAAUUCAAUGUUUGCUCCUGCAUGCAUUUUCCCCAAUUUCCUUAAAACAACUUUUUUUCCCAGAACGUUUCCCCCCCUUUUACCAAAACCCAUUAACCUCAAAAGCCAUUUUACAGAUUGAACAAAACCAAUGCAACAUUAGAAAAUUCUCAAUUUUUUUAUGCACAAACGAUAACUCAACUCCCCUCAUAAGAUACCCGAAUGAGCAUUAAGAUAGGAGAACAUGUCAGACCUCAUAUAACAAAUGAGUACAGUAAAAAAAACUCCUCAUACCUGGAUUUUGAUUCCUGCACUCUCCCACCGAACACCGUGACUUUCUCAGUCCUCUCUUUCACCCUUAGGUUUCUCAAAAUGCUUGAUUAGGUGUCUCUAUCCUUCCUUCUCUAGCCCCUUUUUCAGGUUUCAUCUAAAUCCCCAAUUCGGAUCCCCGAAACCCUAAAAUCAUGCUCACCAUCCUCUGAUUCUAUCUUCCCUUUACCCACUUUAAAACCAAGCCUUCAUCUCUCUCCCAGCGUUUAAUGUCUGUCGCUAUUUCCCCUGUGGUCCUACAGUUUUAGAUAAGAAAAAAAAAUGAAAACAAAGAAAGAACAAGAGAAGAAAAUAAAGAAGAAAAAAGAAGAACGAGCUUUCGAAUUUAAGCAUGCCGUCGACCCCGAAUUCUCUUUCGCCAAUUUCUUUGGAUUUCUCGACCCAGCUCCAAGAAAGAAGUAAAAAAAUAAAGAGAAAAGAAAUGAGGACAGAAAAUAUAAUUAAUUUUGUUCUCAACCGGUAACGAAUCC